rnacentral:rRNA from 1 species
UACGGGGUAGGGCAGUCGUUGUCCGGAUUUACUGGGCGUAAAGAGCGUGUAGGCGGCCAAACAGGUCCGUUGUGAAAACUGGAGGCUCAACCUCCAGACGUCGACGGAAACCGUGUGGCUAGGGUCCGGAAGAGGAGAGUGGAAUUCCUGGUGUAGCGGUGAAAUGCGCAGAUAUCAGGAAGAACACCAAUGGCGAAGGCAGCUCUCUGGGACGGUACUGACGCUGAGACGCGAAAGCGUGGGGAGCGAACAGG